rnacentral:rRNA from 1 species
AGAGUUUGAUCCUGGCUCAGGAUGAACGCUGACAGAAUGCUUAACACAUGCAAGUCGAUUCAAGUUACCUUCGGGUAAUGAGGAUGGCGGACGGGUGAGUAACGCGUAAGGAACUUGCCUCUUGGUCUGGGACAACUGUUGGAAACGACAGCUAAUACCGGAUAUUAUGAGAUUCUCGCAUGAGAAACUUAUGAAAGCUAUAUGCGCCAAGAGAGAGCCUUGCGUUCCAUUAGCUAGUUGGUGGGGUAAUGGCCCACCAAGGCGACGAUGGAUAGCCGGCCUGAGAGGGUGAACGGCCACAAGGGGACUGAGACACGGCCCUUACUCCUACGGGAGGCAGCAGUGGGGAAUAUUGGACAAUGGGCCACAAGCCUGAUCCAGCAAUUCUGUGUGCACGAUGAAGGUCUUCGGAUUGUAAAGUGCUUUCAGUUGGGAAGAAGAAAGUGACGGUACCAACAGAAGAAGCGACGGCUAAAUACGUGCCAGCAGCCGCGGUAAUACUGUCG